GGGCCACUGCUCAGCCUUGAGGAAAACACUGGGCCACGAUGGAGUCUUGCUCUGUACCCCAGGCUGGAAUGCAGUGGUGUGAUCUUGACUCACUGCAACCUCUGUCUCCUGGAUUCAAGCGAUUCUCCUGCCUCGGCUUCCUGAGUAGCUGAGAUUACAGGCAUGCACCACCACAUCCUGCUAAUUUUUGUAUUUUUAGUAGAGACGAGGUUUCACUAUGUUGACCAGGCUGGUCUCAAACUCCUGACCUCAGGUGAUCUGCCUGCCUUGGCCUCCCAAAGUGCUGGGAUUACAGGCAUGAGCCACCACACCUGGUACACGUUUUAUUUUUCAUAAAACAUUUCCUGAGUGUCUACUAUUCAUUCUUUCAUUCAUUGGUUUGUUCAUUCAUCCAUUCAACAGAAACUUAAAGUGCCAACAGUGUGCCACAAACUGUGAAAUGCACUAGAAAAAAAUAAAAGUAAAAAUUUAUGGCCGGGAACAGUGGC
rnacentral:lncRNA from 10 species